GGCUGGAGAGGUGGCUCAACGGUUAAGAGCGCUGACUACUCUUCCAGAGGUCCUGAGUUCAAUUCCCAGUAGCCA
rnacentral:tRNA from 1 species